rnacentral:siRNA from 1 species
AGGUGACGUUUCAUUCCAUCAAUG